rnacentral:lncRNA from 1 species
UGUCUGGCAGGCAGUGGGAGCUCGGCGGCCUCAGGAAGCUGCCGCUGCCUGUGGUAGCUGUGGCACUUGGGAGCUGGCGCUGUGUGGGCAGCUGUCAGCUUUAGCCUGGAGCUGUGCCCAGCUGGGGGGGCUGGGAGAAAGCAAGCAGCCCAAGGAGCCAGGCAGCAGGGAAGUGUCUGAGCCAGUGCCACUCUGUCCCACAUGGAAGCCUGGCUGGGAGGUGGGGCUGCAGGCCGCUCCAUGGCGGGGUGCCUUGCCCGGGGCUGCAGCGCUCAUGGCUGACCCUGUCCUUACAGUGACCUGGCAGACGGCCACUGGUGCCAAGCGUCGAGAGGAGCCGCUGCGUGGGAACAGGCAGAAGGACACAGCCUCUUGUGACCCACAGCAGGCCUUGCUCAAGGCACUCUCCUUGCUGGGCAGCGAUGACUGGGAGCUGAAGGAGAAGCAUCAAACAGCUGGCUGGGUCCCAUUCAGAAGUCGUGCUUUGCAGACUUUGUGAAAUUUGCCUGGCAGUUACCAGCGAGGUGAGCAACCUCUGCUCCAAGGUGUCCUACACUGCAAUCGUCACUCUUGGAGAGCUCUUUGCAACCUUGAAGAAGGACAUGGACUCCGAGGUGGAUGAGGUUGCUCAGGUCCUGCUCCCAGUGGUUUGGAAUUCUCCAGAGUUUGUUGAGAAAGCAGCCAAUCCCAGAGUUUGUUGAGAAAGCAGCCAAUCAGACCCUGGGGAUCAUGGUUGAGAACGUGAGUCCUGCACAAGCACUGGCUGCUCUCAUGGACAGGGGAGACAAGUAGUUUCUUCUUCUUUUAGUGAUCUUCUUCACCUUCUUGUGUGUGGGUGGGGGAAGGGAUGAGAGACAGAAUGGGA